CGCUGGCGGCGUGCUUAACACAUGCAAGUCGAACGAUGAUCCCAGCUUGCUGGGGGAUUAGUGGCGAACGGGUGAGUAACACGUGAGUAACCUGCCCUUGACUCUGGGAUAAGCCUGGGAAACUGGGUCUAAUACCGGAUAUGACUGUCUGACGCAUGUCAGGUGGUGGAAAGCUUUUGUGGUUUUGGAUGGACUCGCGGCCUAUCAGCUUGUUGGUGGGGUAAUGGCCUACCAAGGCGACGACGGGUAGCCGGCCUGAGAGGGUGACCGGCCACACUGGGACUGAGACACGGCCCAGACUCCUACGGGAGGCAGCAGUGGGGAAUAUUGCACAAUGGGCGCAAGCCUGAUGCAGCGACGCCGCGUGAGGGAUGACGGCCUUCGGGUUGUAAACCUCUUUCAGUAGGGAAGAAGCGAAAGUGACGGUACCUGCAGAAGAAGCGCCGGCUAACUACGUGCCAGCAGCCGCGGUAAUACGUAGGGCGCAAGCGUUAUCCGGAAUUAUUGGGCGUAAAGAGCUCGUAGGCGGUUUGUCGCGUCUGCUGUGAAAGACCGGGGCUCAACUCCGGUUCUGCAGUGGGUACGGGCAGACUAGAGUGCAGUAGGGGAGACUGGAAUUCCUGGUGUAGCGGUGAAAUGCGCAGAUAUCAGGAGGAACACCGAUGGCGAAGGCAGGUCUCUGGGCUGUAACUGACGCUGAGGAGCGAAAGCAUGGGGAGCGAACAGGAUUAGAUACCCUGGUAGUCCAUGCCGUAAACGUUGGGCACUAGGUGUGGGGGACAUUCCACGUUUUCCGCGCCGUAGCUAACGCAUUAAGUGCCCCGCCUGGGGAGUACGGCCGCAAGGCUAAAACUCAAAGGAAUUGACGGGGGCCCGCACAAGCGGCGGAGCAUGCGGAUUAAUUCGAUGCAACGCGAAGAACCUUACCAAGGCUUGACAUGAACCGGAAAUACCUGG
rnacentral:rRNA from 1 species